UACGUAGGGGGCAAGCGUUGUCCGGAUUUAUUGGGCGUAAAGAGCGUGUAGGCGGCCAAGCAGGUCCGCUGUGAAAACUCGAGGCUCAACCUCGAGACGUCGGUGGAAACCGUUUGGCUAGAGUCCGGAAGAGGAGAGUGGAAUUCCCGGUGUAGCGGUGAAAUGCGCAGAUAUCGGGAAGAACACCGGUGGCGAAGGCGGCGCUCUGGACCGAGACUGACGCUGAGGCGCGAAAGCGUGGGGAGCAAACAGG
rnacentral:rRNA from 1 species